GGUGACCUCCCGGGAAGUCCU
rnacentral:snRNA from 1 species